rnacentral:sRNA from 1 species
CUUCCCUUCCACGACUUUGCAGAUUUCUCUUCCCCCAGGCCUCCCUCCUCCACCUCUCCGCCCCCUCCGGGCUUGGCUCUCCCAGGAGGCUACGACUGGAGCCACUGGUCCCGCAGGGAUCCCCGCGUCCUCGGUCGCCGCGUCCACGUCCCUCUCGCGUCCCCGCCCGGCGCCACGCCGCCUCCUCUGGGUUCGGCCUCCGCGCGGUGCAGCGCAGUCUCAGGCCACGGGACAAGCCCGACUUAAAUCUCUGCAAUGGCUAACGAAGCUUAUCCUUGUCCGUGUGACAUUGGCCACAGACUUGAGUAUGGAGGGCUAGGCCAUGAAGUUCAAGUCGAGCACAUCAAGGCUUAUGUCACCAAAUCCCCCGUUGAUGCAGGCAAAGCUGUGAUUGUCAUUCAAGAUAUAUUUGGCUGGCAGUUGCCCAAUACCAGAUAUAUAGCUGACAUGAUCUCAGGAAAUGGAUACACAACCAUUGUUCCAGACUUCUUUGUAGGGCAAGAGCCUUGGGACCCCUCUGGCGACUGGUCUAUCUUCCCUGAGUGGCUGAAAACAAGAAAUGCCCAGAAGAUCGACAGAGAGAUCAGUGCUAUCUUGAAGUAUCUGAAACAACAGUGUCAUGCCCAGAAAAUUGGCAUCGUGGGAUUCUGCUGGGGUGGAACUGCUGUCCAUCAUUUGAUGAUGAAAUACUCAGAAUUCAGGGCAGGGGUGUCCGUCUAUGGUAAAUCUGCCUUGUGCAUUUUUACUCCAUGCAGAAGGGAGGGGUGGAAGAGUGACAGCAAUCACAAGCCUCCCCAUCCAGUGUAACACAACCCCCAAUAAUGCGAAGACUGCCCAUCUUAUGGAAAUGGGCUUUAAGAAUCUGAAAAUAGAGGUGGAGGUUUGUCUUGCAGUUAACCAGA